ACCUUGACGGUACCUAACCAGAAAGCCACGGCUAACUACGUGCCAGCAGCCGCGGUAAUACGUAGGUGGCAAGCGUUGUCCGGAAUUAUUGGGCGUAAAGCGCGCGCAGGCGGUUUCUUAAGUCUGAUGUGAAAGCCCCCGGCUCAACCGGGGAGGGUCAUUGGAAACUGGGGAACUUGAGUGCAGAAGAGGAGAGUGGAAUUCCACGUGUAGCGGUGAAAUGCGUAGAGAUGUGGAGGAACACCAGUGGCGAAGGCGACUCUCUGGUCUGUAACUGACGCUGAGGCGCGAAAGCGUGGGGAGCGAACAGGAUUAGAUACCCUGGUAGUCCACGCCGUAAACGAUGAGUGCUAAGUGUUAGAGGGUUUCCGCCCUUUAGUGCUGCAGCAAACGCAUUAAGCACUCCGCCUGGGGAGUACGGUCGCAAGACUGAAACUCAAAGGAAUUGACGGGGGCCCGCACAAGCGGUGGAGCAUGUGGUUUAAUUCGAAGCAACGCGAAGAACCUUACCAGGUCUUGACAUCCUCUGACAACCCUAGAGAUAGGGCUUCCCCUUCGGGGGCAGAGUGACAGGUGGUGCAUGGUUGUCGUCAGCUCGUGUCGUGAGAUGUUGGGUUAAGUCCCGCAACGAGCGCAACCCUUGAUCUUAGUUGCCAGCAUUCAGUUGGGCACUCUAAGGUGACUGCCGGUGACAAACCGGAGGAAGGUGGGGAUGACGUCAAAUCAUCAUGCCCCUUAUGACCUGGGCUACACACGUGCUACAAUGGGCAGAACAAAGGGCAGCGAAGCCGCGAGGCUAAGCCAAUCCCACAAAUCUGUUCUCAGUUCGGAUCGCAGUCUGCAACUCGACUGCGUGAAAGCUGGAAUCGCUAGUAAUUCGCGGAUCAG
rnacentral:rRNA from 1 species